GGUGGAGGUGGAGGUGGAGGUGAAAUUUUACUUGAUUGCUGGUUGUUUAAUGAUCGAAGAAUGGCCACGUUUGGUGGUGGUGGAGGCGGUGAGAAUUUUGGCCUUUUGGGUAAAUACGAACUUGGCUCAAUAUUCUCAGCACGAUCCUCCUGUGUUAGUGCUGGACAUGGUGGUGGAUUAGGUGGUACCUGUGACGGUAAUGGCUGCUUUAUUGACGGUAUGAUGACGUGCUUCAUUUCCGGCGAAGAAAUCGAAGAGAGUCGCGACUUGGGAGAGGUUCUUUUAGAAUGAGG
rnacentral:misc_RNA from 1 species